AACUCUCACCCUUCAACUUUCUUAAUAGUGGUUGCAGGCGUGGACUUGAGCGCUGCUGGUCUUUAUUGACCGGCUCGCUUGAAAUGAAUUAGCAGAUCCUUUUUGUAAUCGGUUCCACUCGACGUGAUAAGUAUUUCGCCGAGGACAUCUUAACGGAUGGCCGAGAUAAGAAAAGUCUUUUAGAUCCGCUUCUAAUUCUUAGCCUUACGCAAGUAAGCUAAACCCAUUUUAUG
rnacentral:misc_RNA from 1 species